rnacentral:rRNA from 1 species
UACGAAGGGAUCUAGCGUUGUUCGGAUUUACUGGGCGUAAAGGGCGCGUAGGCGGUUAUGUAAGUAAGAUGUGAAAGCCCUGGGCUUAACCCGGGAACUGCAUUUUAAACUGCAUAGCUUGAGUGUUGGAGAGGUAAGUAGAAUUCCCAGUGUAGAGGUGAAAUUCGUAGAUAUUGGGAAGAAUACCAGUGGCGAAGGCGACUUACUGGACAACAACUGACGCUGAGGCAUGAAAGCGUGGGGAGCAAACAGG